UGAAGCGAUUGCUUCGGGCGAAAACAGCACGUUCGCAUCGCGCUCGAUCGUCACCAUGCCCCGGUCACCGGGUUCGAUUUCCGGCAUUUCGUCC
rnacentral:tRNA from 1 species